rnacentral:lncRNA from 1 species
UUGUAUUCCAUUAUAGAGGAUCAAUGACUUACUUUAGCUUAUUUCUAUCUGGAUGGUGAGGCUCUUGAGUGGUAUUGAUGGCUUCACAGAAAUAAACAAUUGGUGGGUUGCGACUAUUUCACUGAGAAACUCCUUAUUCAUGGGUCCUGCUCAUUUAUCCAAGCUACAACAGACAUAAAGCAUCGCCGACUAUCAACCCCACUUUGACGCACU